UUGAUGUCCAAUUUCUUACCAGAAUGUAACUGUCAAUAUGGUAACAAGUAGAACAAACUACCAAACGCAGCAUUUGAUUACACACCUCUUGAUAGUUCUAGCUCACAACUAAAUGUGAACUUCUGAAAGAUACACUUACCUUUAAAAGGCUGGAGAGGUUAGAUGAGGUGGUGCAGUAAUACCUUAUGAAUUUGUUGUCUAGCAGCAAUAAUAGAUUAUUUUAAUCCUUUGAGUGGGGCUCACAGAAUUCUUACUUUAGUCAAACAUUAAGAAGAAUAGAAGGAAAUGUUUUUCCAUAAAACUUUAAUUGGCGUAAUAUCUCUAUAUAUUCUGGGCGUAUAAGAAAAGUAGCAGUAUUUUGGGCUGUUUAUCACCUGUAUUCAGAGGAAGUGACAUUUUCAGACCCGUGCUCUGCAAGUGAGAUAUGUGCAUCGGAUAAAGCAGGGACAGGUCUCCUGGGUCUACAAGGUGGAUUGCUCCUUAGCUGUCUUCCUGUAACAGGUUCUACAACAUCUCUGGGGGUUGGGGUUUUAUUUGGUGGGUAUUUUCUUUCUUUCUUUCCUUUCCCCUACUGGUGGGAGCAUGAGAAGUACCAGUAUGUGUGUCUAAUCUAUUGAAAUGAACUCAAAAUGGUGCUUUUUUUUUCUAGUGCAGGGACUCCACAACACAAAGAUGUAUGUCCUCUCUCACGGUAGCUGUCUGGGAUAACGUGGUGGUCACACGUUUCCCAUACCAACAUUCAAAUAUGGUGAAUGUAGGUUAUAGUUCUGGACUAAUAAUUCAAAUAAAGAUUAAUUUCUAUUGCAAAAAUGUAAAACACAUUAAAAGUUAAUUUCAAGGGCAAAGCUAAAUUGAAGUCCCUAAGAAAAUACUUUAAAUUAGAUGAAUUACCUGUAAAAUAAACAUCAUAGAUAAAAAGUGAGUUUACUUAAUAUAAAAAAGUUAAUAAAAUGGGCUGUGAAAGGAAGAUGAGCAGCAGUGUUAAGAUAAAUAGUCCGCUCACACCGAAAUAGAGCAUGAAAGUUCAUCUGUGAUAUAGAAGUUUAUGGAAAAUUUACAAGACAAAAUGCAUUCUGGUGUAUUAAACAGAGGACCACUGGGAUUUGUGUGUUGUGAGCUGUCAGUAGGCUCAUCAUAACCAUUACAAAUCUACUCUGAAAUGUUAAAAGAGCAAAAAUAUUGAGCUAGAAGGUCCAAUUCCUCUGGGCCAGGGAAAAGAAGUGGGUACUGGCUUUUUUUUUUUUUUGUAUGCUAUCCUUCCACAUGUUGCAAUGCAGGAAACUACAGAGCAGGUGGAAAGGUCAGGCCUGUGCAGAGACUUUACUGCAUAUUUCACUUCCCUGCUCCUUAGCUCCUUAGUUAGAGGCUACUUCCUCGGUUCUGUGGUGUUCUUGUGGGAGUCAAAUCAUAAAAUGAAAAUCAACCCCUAUGGAAAUCAAAUGUACCUCAGAGUGCUGGGACAGAUGCAGUUUGAGAGCGAAAAAACCCCAAAACAAAACCAAACCUGCAAAACCUCCUGAGAGGUGAUAGCCUGGAAAACUGGAAAUUACGUUAAAAAACAGCCAAAGGGAGAAUCCCUUUGUUCCUUUGGAGAGUUUUAGUGAGGAAUGUGGGAAAGCGCCUGUCCUGUGGACUUUCCUUUCAAUAUCUACAGUCACUGAAUUUAUCUCUGUAAAAUGUAUUGCAAUGUAGCUGUAACUGUUAAUAUUUGUACAUGCACAUGAGUUCCUCUCUAACUAAAUAUUCUUGCUUGGAGUGCUCAUGGCUCACAUCCUGCUCUGACCGGCUCCUGUGAAUAACCCAGUGUGCUGAUGGACUGACAAGACACCCUAUUCUGUUACAGCUGAAUUGGGGCCGAUACACGUUACACACAGUGCUGCCUGACAAAUUGAAUCAGCUACUCUAAGUGAUUUUGCCUGUUUCAGAGUACUGGGAAACUCAAAGGGCAUCAAGUCAAAUUACACAUUGAUUGCAGUUUGCCCUGUAGCUUUUGCACACAGAAGGAAUCACAUACAACACUUAGAUUAGUGGAAGAGACUGCAUCAGGGGAAUAUCGCAUGUAAGCAUGUAGAAGUUGGACUUCCCUGGGUGGUAGUAACGCUGUGAGUCUAGCCACCCAGGAAAGAGCAAAAUUUAUGUUGAUGUGUGCUUCCCAAAUGACACAGACAAAGACUUCAUCAUCCCUUCUGUAGACCUUGUAAUUCCCGACUUAGCCAUACUGUAAUUCAUGUUUUGCUUUGGGUUAUUUUUCCUUCUUCAAGUAAACAAAAUGUCAGAAUACCACAAAUUAGAGUAAUGUCUAGAUUUGUUUUAUAUAGAAAUACAAAUCCGUAUGUACUAAUGUUUAUGAACUGCUAUAUAUUAGAAUAUCUUUAACCAUGGAGGUCACUGAUCUACUACUGUAUGAUCUACAACUAUCCAGAGUUUGGAUGACAGACCAGUAGUCAGAUGCCUGAGAACACAAUUUUUAUUUUCAAGUUUUCUUUGGAACCACAGAGGCUAAAUGCUUCCUUAAAAAGCAGUAGUAAAAAUAACUUAAAAGUCAAGAAAACAGAGAUUCUCACAUGAACCGUUUGUUCUAAUAGCUGACAUUUAAAAGACAAUACGAGAUACUGUAUGACUUACAACGAUAUGCCAGGCAUCCACACAAAGGCUUGUCUUUAUUUCAUUUGCAGUGCUUGCACUAGCUGAGGCCUCCUCUUUAUCCUCGGUAUGCUGAUGAGCAAAUUUUGCACCAGCUCACAACAUGCUUCUUAGAGGAGUGUCAUAAGUAUUACCAAAAUGAUUUUAAAAAGCCUCCAUGUACAGGAUCUCAGUUUAUUGAUCAGUCAUAUAUGUAGAGUAAGAUCAGGUUCAGCACGCAUGUCAGUGUUUCAGCUUCUCUGAACGGUCUUCCAAGUCAUUUAGUCGGCUGAAUAAUCCUGAAGAUUUCUGAUUUCUCUCUGUUGCCAGGCAGAUUUCUUAUUUGUUCCAUGUUUUCUUUCAGUUCGUUAUUAAAAGCACUACUGCAAUUUUUCUCAAUAUUGUUUCUAAGAAAAUGGUCACUUGGUUUCUGUUCUUGGUGCUCUCUCUUACACUCAUAAACCUGAUAAACGUACCAAGAAAACAUGUUCUAUCACUUCUGUUUACUAAGGUUGCCAGUCAACAAGAGGUGACAGCAAAUGAAACUGAGGGAUUUGUAUUGUGUAUGUACAAACGUAAGGGUUGUUGUCUGUCACAUUCUGUGUUUUGGAUGCAUCCUUUACUUCUCUCACCUAAUCCUUACUACUCAGUCACGAUAAAUAUUUUGGGAAGGAUAUGUUGCUCCAAACUCUCCCCAACACAAUUUCUGUGUUUGCCUAGGCUGAAAGCUUCGUUGUUUAGUUGGUUGUUUCAGUGAAUUCCUUCCACAGAAGGAAAUGGAAUACGCAUUUCUAUUAGAUUUCUUCAGCAGAUAUGAAGGUGGCUUGGAUUCAAGGACUGAUAGUCUUUUGACUGGACUUAGAGAUGUACUGUAUCUGUUGUUUAAGGUCAAAUGUCUCAAUAAAAUCUUUCCAUAGAAGCGACUUGUUAGCUUGCACUUUUAUCAGGCCCCUUCUGCAUUUUUUUCCCCCCAGCUUUCUUGAUUUAAAAAAUGACAAUGAUGGUAUCUGAGUUUUCUGGGAAUUUCUGCACUGUGAUGCAUGUUGUGAACACAAUUUUUUUCUAGUUCUGCUUCUGGGCUCCCUCUGAUCUUUGUAAUGUACAGUGCAGCGCUGUCUUCCCUAGGCACUUCUCUUAUCGUUUUCUUAACUUGUUCUUCUGUUCCUCAUAUGGGGUAACUUGUGAAGCUAUGCAAGGGAAUCAUUCACAAUACCAUCUAAACUGCAGAAAAACAUUUAUAAAGAUUCCACAGAAGCCAAAGAUUAUGAACAUUGGCCUUUUUUAAAGCUUAAAAUGUGGAAAAAUGAAGAUCCCACAACUAUUGAAAAAGCCUUUCCCCAACCUACAAAACCCAACACAUAAAUAGAAGUCUUACCUAUUAUAGAUGCAAUGUUAUUCUGUAGGAACUGUAUUAGGAUCAUAAUGAGUAAACAGAAAGACUAUUGGGCUAAGGCUAAGCAUUUGCUCAUUAAGGUGUGUUUUGUAAAAACAUGACCACUUUUUCUGUCCACCCCUCCCUGCACACACCAGCAAAUCACCGCCCAGCAUACAAAGUAAAUACACGGCAGAAGUAAAUUGCUGUUCUCAGCAGAACAAAAGAUAUUUCAUUUUUUAAUAAACAUCCAAUUGCUUUUGGUUGUCUCCACUUUUCAGUUAUUGGUAGUAUAUGAACUGCUGAAAUUGAUCCUCUUGUUUAAAGUUGUUUGGAGUUUUGCUUCCUGCCACAGAUCACGGUUGUAUAUGCUGGAAUUCCUGUGGGCCAGGCGACCUGCCUCCUCAUGUGGCUUACAGCAUGCGUCCUACCAGCGGGCACUGAGAGAGAACCUGCUGCUACUUAUCUCCUCCUCCCGCUUUGGCUUCCUUGGUACAUGUGCCUGUAAAUAUUUACUUUUCAUGUUGCUUUGAUUUCUUGUUGUGGCUACUUUGGGCUUGAGCCAGUGUUCACUAGCAAGGCAAGCAAGAGAUAUUCAGAAUGAUUAUCAAAGACAUAAUGUGUCAUCUUGAAAAGUAACCAAUUAUCAUCCUAAAGUAUUUGAAUCAUGUGCUUGCGGACACGAAAGACUGUGUGCAGAAGCAGCUUAUACUUCUACAUCUGUCUGCAGGUCUGACUCUAUAAGCUCGGUCAUGAAAGUGAUUAUUCACUUUGUUUUCUGCUUAAUACAAAGUGUCUGUUACUUAGCAUGAAAUUAGUAGAUCCUAAUACUAAACCUGCAGCUUUGUUUUGCUGUCUAUCUUGUAUAGUGUUGUGUUUAUAUAUUAGACUGUUUUAACUUGGUAGGACCAAACUGAUACCUCUGGUACUUCUAGAAGCAUUGUUAACCUGCUACCUCGUGUUUUGUUAGGUCUCAGGAUAGAGAUUUGCAUUAUAAAAGUGCUGUAAGAUGUAGGCAACCUGAGAAUCCAUCAAAAACUGGGAAAUUGCCCAACUUCUCCUUUGAUCUUACUGGUGAUUUUAUCAGGAGGAUAGGUGCUAUUUUGAAACCGCAGAAAUUGCAUGACUUGUGGGGCAGCCAUCAUAUGGCAACUUUCCUCCAUUGUAUGAAAAAGCGUAUUUUCCACACAGAUGGUUUAAUAGUGAUUUUGGUUUCGCUUUUUCCAGUGUAACUUGGCUGAGUCUCUUUCUCUUAUUUGUCUUUAUUUAUUUAUUUUUUCUUUCUCUUUUAUCACACUGUGAAGUGAUUUGGCCUGUCUUUUUCAUGGCUGUUCAUGACAGUUUCUUGUCCAUUCCUACAGAGCUUCUGCCUUUAUUCUUUUCAUCACAGCAUAGCUGAUCAGCCAGCCUCACUGGCAGGAGUUAACUGGAACCUGGGUACUUUUCCAGUUGAAGGACAAAACUGUUCUUCCUGCAACCUGUAUUUCAACAAUGGGUAAAGAGAAGUUUUGUAGUUAACAUUAAAUAAAAACACAUGAUUUCCUGCAGCUGGAGUCUUAAUCUUGCAUUAGGCUUCCCACAGCCAGUGCUGCAAGCGGCAGUUUUUAAAAACUGGUGGAAUGGCAGAUCUUGGUUUUGCAAUUGCAAAACUCUGUUAAAAUUCAGUUUGUAUCUGUUCAUCACAAAACUACCAAGAGAGAAUGAGCUUCUGGGGCUUCUUGCUUUUGAAAUUGCUGCUGGGAUAUCAGUGGAGCCCAGUGCUGUUCUUUUAUAGGAGACGACAAUUUCUGUACUGAAAUUUAGGUUUUAUUUAGCAGUAUUGCUCUCCAUUUAAUUAGGCCUUCCAUCCUUCUGUCCUUGGAUAUCUUCCUUUCUGGAAUUAGCCAAGUUCUCUAACAGCGGAGUUAUAUAGCUUGUAGAACUUGUUUUAACAGCUGCAUGUUUUGGUGUUCACUUCCUACAUUGUUCUUGCGGAAGAUGCCAUAAUCUUAAAUCCUCAUCUGAAAAUGUUAUGAGCCUGUCACUUUU